rnacentral:rRNA from 1 species
AGCGGACAGAUGGGAGCUUGCUCCCUGAUGUUAGCGGCGGACGGGUGAGUAACACGUGGGUAACCUGCCUGUAAGACUGGGAUAACUCCGGGAAACCGGGGCUAAUACCGGAUGGUUGUUUGAACCGCAUGGUUCAAACAUAAAAGGUGGCUUCGGCUACCACUUACAGAUGGACCCGCGGCGCAUUAGCUAGUUGGUGAGGUAACGGCUCACCAAGGCAACGAUGCGUAGCCGACCUGAGAGGGUGAUCGGCCACACUGGGACUGAGACACGGCCCAGACUCCUACGGGAGGCAGCAGUAGGGAAUCUUCCGCAAUGGACGAAAGUCUGACGGAGCAACGCCGCGUGAGUGAUGAAGGUUUUCGGAUCGUAAAGCUCUGUUGUUAGGGAAGAACAAGUACCGUUCGAAUAGGGCGGCACCUUGACGGUACCUAACCAGAAAGCCACGGCUAACUACGUGCCAGCAGCCGCGGUAAUACGUAGGUGGCAAGCGUUGUCCGGAAUUAUUGGGCGUAAAGGGCUCGCAGGCGGUUUCUUAAGUCUGAUGUGAAAGCCCCCGGCUCAACCGGGGAGGGUCAUUGGAAACUGGGGAACUUGAGUGCAGAAGAGGAGAGUGGAAUUCCACGUGUAGCGGUGAAAUGCGUAGAGAUGUGGAGGAACACCAGUGGCGAAGGCGACUCUCUGGUCUGUAACUGACGCUGAGGAGCGAAAGCGUGGGGAGCGAACAGGA